rnacentral:rRNA from 1 species
UGGGGAAUAUUGCACAAUGGGCGCAAGCCUGAUGCAGCCAUGCCGCGUGUAUGAAGAAGGCCUUCGGGUUGUAAAGUACUUUCAGCGAGGAGGAAGGCGUUGUGGUUAAUAACCGCAGCGAUUGACGUUACUCGCAGAAGAAGCACCGGCUAACUCCGUGCCAGCAGCCGCGGUAAUACGGAGGGUGCAAGCGUUAAUCGGAAUUACUGGGUGUAAAGCGCACGCAGGCGGGUCGUCAAGUCGGAUGUGAAAUCCCCGGGCUCAACCUGGGAACUGCAUCCGAAACUGGCAGGCUAGAGUCUUGUAGAGGGGGGUAGAAUUCCAGGUGUAGCGGUGAAAUGCGUAGAGAUCUGGAGGAAUACCGGUGGCGAAGGCGGCCCCCUGGACAAAGACUGACGCUCAGGUGCGAAAGCGUGGGGAGCAAACA